rnacentral:lncRNA from 1 species
CUCCAAAGAGAAAAGGAAUCGCGAUGAUCUUAGUCCACUCAUCAUAGCGGACAUGGCAACCAACUAAUUCAGAACAAGAUAAAAAAAUAACUGCAUUAAAGAGGUUACCAUAAUCUCUAAGUGAUUUUCUUUCCCUUUGCUUGAUGUCCAAAAGAACAUAAAAACCUCAAUGUUGCCUCCUACUGCUAAUAAGUACACUGCAAAUAAUUGAUUGAGCUAUUUGAAGGAAUGAAUCAAGCACAACUAGAUUCUGAAUACUAGAAUCAAGUUUCCUUCCUCUUAAUAGUGGAAAAUGCUUGACACAGCAUGCCAUCAGUAGCAUCGUAGAUCAUCAUGAGAGCUUUAAAGCUCUCUACAUGGUCCAUGAGAUCAGUGGUUCCAUUACAAGGAUGCAA